rnacentral:lncRNA from 1 species
CACACAGCACACAACACACACAACACGCAUGCCACACAGCACACAACACACACAACACGCACACAACACACAUGCCACACAGCACAUACCACACACAACACACAUGCCACACAGCACACACAUGUCACACACACAACACACAUGCCACAUACACACCACACAGCACACAUCGCACACAACACACACAUGCCGCACACACCACACAAAUACAUAUGCCACACAGUGCACAACACACAACACACAUGCCACACAGCACACGUCACACACAUACACACACACUACACACAACACACAUGCCAGACACACAGCCAACACAUCACACAACACACAUGACACACAUGCCAAAUGCACACACACUACACAUGCCACACACAUGCCACACACACCACACACAUGCACAACACACAUGCCAGAGACCACACAUGCCACACAACACACGACACACCACACAUGCCACAUACACAACACACAUGCCACAGAGCACACACCACACACACCACGUCACACACCAAACACAUGCCACACACACCACACAUGCCACACACCAAAUACGUAUCACACACAACACACAUGACACAAAGCACACACCACACAUGUCACACACCACACACAGGCGCACAACACACGCCACACACAUCACAACCCCCAUGCCACACAACACAUAUGCUACACAAUGUGAAUGACACACGCAUGCCACAUGCACACUCAACAUAGAUGCCACACACACACCACACAUGUCACACACACCACACACAAUACACAUGCCACACACAGAACACACAUACCAUGCACACAACACACACAACACACUUGCCCCACACAACACAUACACAUGCCAGACACACACAACACACACCACACACACAAAACACAACAAACAUGCCACAUGCAACACACACAACACACGUCACACACAACAUGCACACAACACAUGCCACACAUGCACACCACACACAACACACAUGCUGCACACACAACACACAUGCCACACAGGCACACAACACAGAACAUACAUGCCACACAUACACACACCACACAUACAACACACAUGCCACACACACCAUACACAACGCACAAAACACAACACAUAUGACACACAUGACACACAUACACACACCACACUCACACUCAUACUCACAAGGACAGAUAGUAAUCCUGAAACAUUCUCUUCUAAGCCCAUAAGGAAGAACUCAGAUGGCAGCUGCCUCUUCCUCUUCAGAGUCAGGUUGAGAAACACUAAACUUAUAGCCUAAAACCCAGGUUUUGGGCUCCACAGGCAGAGAGGCAAAUACAGUCA